UUAAUUAUAGUUAAAUAGUAUUGUGAAAGAAAAUUGAAAUAAUUUGAAAAAUUAAUAUUUUAAAAGAAAAUUUAAUUUAUUGUACCUUGUGUAUCAGGGUUUAUUAAUUAAAAAUUAUUUAUUAUAAUUUUCUCGAUUUUAAAAGAGUUAAUAUAUUAUAAGAGUUAAUGUGACAAAAUUAUUUUAUAUAGUAUAUUAGAAAUGAAAUGUUAUUCGUUUUUAAAGGUAUCUAGUUCUUUAAGAAAUAAAUUUAAUUUAGAAAUAUCAUAUUAUUUAGUUAAAUGUAUUAAUUAAAUAAUUAUUUUAUUUUAAUAUUUUAUGGGAUAAGCUGUGAAAUAAAUUAUUAAAAAUUUUAAAAUAGUUUAAUAAAUAUAAGCUUAGAAAUAGCUAUUAUUAAUGAAAUUGUUAUAAUUUAUUUUAUAAUAUUUAUUAUUUAUUAAAUUUUAAUUAUGUAUUAAGGUAUUUAUUUUAAUUUAAAAAAUAAAAAAAUAAUGAUAAAAUUAGUAUAUUAUGUUGUAUAAAUAUGUGAAAUUGAUAAGUUUUUAUAAAGAACUCGGCAAAAAUAAUGUU
rnacentral:rRNA from 1 species